CCUGGAUGAAGACGGGCAGAUGCGUGGAGAUGUCCCGCCACUGACGCCACACGGGGAUUUCAGAACACGGUCCGCGCUCUCUGUCAAGCCCUCGCUCCCGACCCCAGGGUUAGAACAGCAAGGGAGUGCGGUGGCCGGAGGCUGGGAGACCCGGGAGGGAGGGCGCGCGGUACCUGCUUGUCGAGCGCGUCCCGGACGCCUCCCGGUCCCGCGCCGGCCCUGGGUGGCGCGGGGGUCCGUUCGCAGGUGCAGCCUUCCAGGAGGUACAUGCCCGCCGGGCGGCCGCUCUGCUCGCCCUCGAAGUAGAAGAGCACAUUCUGGUACAGGGCGAACCACUUCUCGUGCCAGCGGCUCGCCUCGGCCGCCUUCUUGCUGAGGAAGCCGCGCUUGGUGCCCUCCUUGCGCGCCAGGAAGGCCAGGCUCAUUUUCUCAUCACUAAUUUGGAGAUACAGAAGUUGGAGACUUGGAUUCCCCUUGGUGGAA